CAGGAACCUUGCUCCAAGGUUUGGGGCCUUACUGCCUGCCCAGGAGAGCCCUGAAUGCUUCCUGGAGGGAGAGGAUUCACUGGGAGACUCCCAGCAUUCCAUGCAGUCUCGCAGCUUCUCUGCUCUGCCUGCCUCAACGUCCCGCUGAGUUUCUGUGUCCCGCCCAUGAACCCGUGUUCGCUUGUGGGCGCCUUAAUGGAGAGACACAAGCACCUUGCUCCGAGGCCUGGAACUUUACAGCUUGCCCGGGAAAGCCCUGGGUCUUCUAGGGUGGAAGAGGCCUUUUGAAUCUGUGAAGAAGUAUUUCUCAGCCCACUGAAGCCUACAGUGAGAAACUGAAUAUACGAUGAUAAAAAGUAGAAAGAAGCUAUGUGUGAAAUUUCUUUGUGAUGUGUGGAUUCAGCUUACAGAGCAGGUUGGAAACAUUCUUUUUGGAGAAUCUAGGUAAAGGCAUUUCAGAGCCCACUGAGGACUAUAGUUUAAAACUGAAUAUCCUGCAAUAACCACUAGAAAGAAGCUGCCUGAAAAACUGCUUUGUGGUUGAAAACAUUCUCUUUGUAGAAUCUGAGAAGGAAUAUUUCAGAGCCCACUAAGACCUAUUAUGAAAAACUGAAUACUCCAUGAUAAAAACUAGAAAGAAAGUAUCCAUGAAACUGCUUUUUGAUGAGAGGAUUCAGCAAAUUGGAAGCACUCUUUUUGAAAAAUCUGUGAAGAAAUAUUUUGGAGCCCACUGAUGCCUAUAUUGAAGAAAAGAAUUUCCAUCAACAAAAGCUAGAAAGAAGCUAUCUGUGAAACUCCUUUGUGAUGUGUACAUUCAGAUCACAGAUAUAAACCGUUUUUUGAUUCAGCAGGUUGGAAACACUCUUUCUGUAGAAUCUAUGAGGGGACAUUUCUGAGCCCACUGACACAUUUACUAAAAAAACUAACAUUGUGAGAUAAAAACUAGAAUGAAUCUAUAGGUGAAAUUUCUUUUUGAUGUCUGUAUUCACCUCACAGACUUAAACCUUUCUUUUGAUUCAUUAUUUUGGAAACACUCUUUUUGUAGGUCUGUGAAGGGACAUUUCAGAGGCCACUAAUGCCUAUUGUGAAACAGUGAAUAUCUUGCAAUACAAACUAGAAAGAAGUUAUCUGUGAAAUUAUUUUUUGUUGUGUGAAUUCAGCUCACAGUUAAUCCUUGCUUUUGAUUCAGCAGGUUGGAAACGCUUUUUUUGUAGAAUCUGCAAAUGGAUAUUUUGGAGCCCACUGAGGCUUAUAGUGAAAAACUGUAUAGCCUAUGACAAAACUUUUGAUGAAACCAUGUGUGAAACUACUUUGUGAUGCCUGGAUUCAGCUCACAGACUUAAACCAUACCAUUGAUUCAGAAGGUUUGAAAUGCUCUUUUUGUACAAUCUGCACAGGAACAUUUCAAAGCACACUGAGGCCUAUAGUGAAAAAACAAAUAUCCCACAAUAAAAACUAAAAAGAAUCUGUUUGUGAAAUUGCUUUGUGGUGUGUGAAUUCAGCUCACAGAGUUAAACGUUUAUUUUGAUUUAGCUGGUUGGAGACACUCUUUUGAUAAAAUCUGUGGCCUAUAGUGAAAAACUGAAUAUCUCACAAUAAAAACAAGAAAGAUGAUAUCUGUGAAACUGCUUUAUGAAUUGUACACUCAGCUCACAGAUUUAAAGCUUUCUUUUUUUCCAGCAGGGUGAAAACACUUUUUUUGUUGAAUCUGCGAAAAGACAUUUCAUAGCCGACUGAAGCUGAUAGUGAAAAACAGCAUAUCCCAAGAUUAAAAGUCAAAAUAAGCUCUCUGUGAAACUACUUUGUGAUGGAUGGAUUAAGCUCACAGGGUUAAACCUUUGUUUUGAUUCUGCUGUUUAAAAACACUCUUUUUGUAGAAUAUGUGAAGAGACAUUUUGAAGCCGAUUGAGGACUGUAGUGAAAAACUGAAUAUCCCAAAAUAAAAAUUAGAAAGAAGCUACAUGUAAUACUACUUUGUAACGUGUGGAUUCAUCUCACAAAGUUAAACCUUUCUUUUGAUUCAGCAGUUUGGAAACACUCGUUUUGUAGAAUCUGCGAAGGGACUUUUGGAGCCCAUUGAGGCCUAUAGUGAAAAAAUUAAUAGCCCUAGUUAAAAAACUAGAAAGAUGCUAUCUCUGAAACCACUUAGUGAUGUGUGGAUUUAUCUCACAGAUUUAAACCUUUCUUUUGAUUCAGCAGGUUGGAAACACUCUUUUUGUUCAAUCUGCAAUGGCACAUUUCAGUGCCCAAUGUUGCCUAUAGUGAUAAAAAGGCACUCUUUUUGUAGAAACUGUGAAGGAACAUUUGGGACCUCACUGAGUUCUUACAUGAAAAGCAGAGUAUUCCUCAAUGAAAACUGGAAAGAAUCUAUCUGUGAAACUGCUUUGUGAUGUGUGGUUUCAGCUCACAGAAUUAAAACUUUUUUUUUAUUAUUCAGCUAGUUGAAGCAAUCAUUUUGUAGAUUUAUUUCAGAGCCCACUUACACCUAUAGUGAAAAACUGAAUAUAUUGGAGAAAACUAAAGCAAGCUAUUGUGAAAUUUGUUUGUGAUGUGUGGAUUCAGUUCACUGUGUUAAAACUUUCUUUUGACUCAGGAUGUUGGCAGCACUCUUUUUAUAUAAUCUCCAAAAGGAUAUUUCAGAGCUCAUUGAGGUUAUAGUGAAAAAACGAAUAUCUUAUAAUAAAAACUAGAAAGAAACUAUCUGUUAAACUGCUUUGUGAUGUGAGGAUUCAGCUCACAGAGUUAAAUGUUUCCUUCGAAGAAGUAGGUUGGAAACCUUUUUUUGCAGAAAAUGUGAAGGGACAUUUCCGAGUCCUUUGAAGCCUAUACUGAAUAACCAAAUAUCCCAUGAUAAAAACUAGACAGAAUUUAUUUGUGAAACCGUUUUGUGAUGUGUGCACUCAGCUCACAGAGUUCACAAUUUUCUUAAAUUCAGAGUUAAACGUUUCUUUUGAUUCAUCAGUUUGGAAACACUCUUUUUUAGAAUCUGUGAAGGGUCAUUUCAGAACCCAAUGAGGCCUACAGUGAAAAUUGAAUAUCCCUUGAUUAAAACGAGAAAGACGCUAUCUGUGAAACUGCUUAGAGAUGUGUGGAUUCAGCUCACAGAGUUAAAAUUUGUUUUGAUUCAAUAGGUUGGAAACACUCUUUUUGUAGAAUCAGUGAAGUUACAUUUUGGAGCUCACUGAGACCUAUAAUAAAAAAUGGUAUAACCCAUGAUAAAAACUAGAAUUAAGCUAUCUGUUUUAUUACUUUUUGAUGCAUAAAAACAACUAACAGAGUUAAACUUUUAUUUUAUUUAGUAAAUUGGAACCACUGAUUUUGUAGGAUCUGUGAAGGGACAUUUUGCAGCCUACUGAGUCCUAUAUUGAAAACUGAACAUCCCAUGAAAAAAACUAGAAAGAAGCGAUUGAUGAGAUUUCUUUGUGGUGUGUGCAUUUAGCUCAGAGUAUAACUUUUCUUUUGAUUCAACAGGUUGGAAACACUCUUUUUGUAGAAAGUGUGAAGGGACAUUUCAAAGCCCACUGAGCCCUAAAAUGAAAGAUAAAAUAUCUCAAUAAAAACUAGAAAGAAGGUGUCUGUGAAACUGCUUUGUGAUGUGUGGAUAGAGCUAACAGAGUUAAACCUUUCUUUUCAUUCAGCAAGUUGGAAAUACUCUUUAAGGAGAUACUGUGAAGGGACAUUUCAGAAAAAAACAGAGGUUAAUAUUGAAAAAUUGAAUAUCCCAUGAAGAAAAACUAUCUUUCAAACAGCAUUGUGGUGUGUAUAUUCAGCUCACAGAGUUAAACCUCUCUUUAAAUUCAGCAGAUUGGAAAUAUUUCCAUUGUUUCAGCAGGUAGGAAACACUCUUUUUGUAGAAGCUACAAAGGGACAUUUCAGAGCCCACUGAGACCUAUUAUAAAAAAUUGACUAUCUGACAAUAAAAACUAGAAAUAAGCUAUCAUCUGUGAAACUGCUUUGUAACAUUUGGAUUGAGCUCACAGAAUUAAAACUUUCCCUCGAUUCAGAAGGCUGGAACUACUCUUUUUGUAGAGUCUGCAAUGGAAUAUUUUGGAACCCACUGAGGCCUAUGAAGAAAAACUGAAUAUCCUUGAACAAAAAAUAGUAAGAAGCUUCAGUUAAGCUGAUUUGUGAUGUGUGUAUUCAGCUCACACAUUAAACCUUUCUUCUGAUUUAGUAGGUUAAAAAUACUCUUCUUGUAGCAUCUACAUGGGGACAUUUCAGAGCCCACUGAGUCCAAUAGUGAAAAAAUGAAUAUCCCAUGAUAACUAGAAAGAAGCUAUCUGUGAAACUGCUUUGUGAUGUGUGCAUUCCUCUCACAAAGUUAAAUUUUUCUUUUGAUUCAGCAGAUGGGAAAAACUCUUUUUAUGUAAUGUGUGAGUGGACAUUUCAGACCCCCUGAGAUGAGUAAUGAAAAACAAUAUUCUAUGAUAAAAUCGAGAAAGAAGCUAUCUGUGAAACCGUUUUGUGAUGUGAAGAUUUACCUCACAGAUUGAAACCUUUUUUUGGAUUCAGUGCAUUGGAAACACUCUAUUUGUAGAGUCUGUGAUGGGACAUUUCAGAGCCCACUCACACCUAUCGUGAAAAACCAAAUAUUCUGUGAUAAAAGCUAGAAAGAAGUUACCUGUGAAACUGCUUUGUGAUGUGUGGAUUCAGCUCGGAGAGUUAAACUAUUCUUUUCAUUCAGCAGCAGGUGGAAAACAUUCUUCUUGUAAAAUCUGUGAAAAGACAUUUCAGACACCCCUGAGACCAAUAGUGAAAAACUGUAUAUCCUGUGAUAGAAACAAGAAAGAAGCUAUUUGUGAAAGUGCUUUGAGAUGUGUGGAUUCAGCUCACAGAGUUAAACCUAUCAUUUGAUACAACAGGUAGGGAACCCUCUUUCUUUUUUUUGUAGAAUCUGGUAAAGGGCAUUUCAGAGCAAGCUGAGUACUAUAGUGAAAAACUGAAUAUACCAUCAUAAAACUAGAAAGAAACUAUCUGUGAAGCUGAUUUGGUAUGUGUGUAUUAAGCUAACAAAGUUAGAACUUCUUUUUGAUUCAGCAAGUUGAAAACAAAGUUUUUGUAGACUCUGCCAAUGGACAUUUCAGAGUAAACUGAGGCCUAUAGUGGAAAACAUAUUAUCCCACUAUAAAAAUUAUAAAGAAACUUUCUGUGAAACCGCUUUGUGAUGUGUGCUUUCAACUCAGUGAGUUAAACCUUUCUCCUGAUUAAGGAGUUUGGAAACACUCUCUUUGUAGAAUCUGCAAAAGGACAUUUUGCAUCUGACUGAGGCCUAUAAGGAGAAACCACAUAUCCAUUUAAAAACAAAAAAACAGAAAGAAGCUAAUUUUGAAACUGUUUUGGGAUGUGUACAUUCACUUGACAGUGUUAAAACUUUCUUUUGAUGUACCAGGUUGAAAACACUCUUUUUGUAAAAUCAGCAAAGGAAGAUUUCAGAGUGCACUGGAGCCUAUACAGAAAACCUGAAUACCCUGCAAUAAAAACUAGAAUGAAGCUAUCUGUGAAACUGCUUUGUUAUGUGUGGAUUCAGCUCGUAGAGUUAAAUCUUUCUUUUGAUUCAGCAGGUUGGAAACCCUCUUCUGACAGUAUCUGCAAAGGUACAUUUCAGAACUCAAUUUGGCCUAAUAGUGAAAAACUGAAUAUUCUGCUAUAAUUAAUAGAAAGAAGCUAUCUUGAAACUGCCUUGUGAUGUGUAAGUUCUGCUCACAGAAAAACUUUUCUUUAGAUUCAGCACAUUAGAAACACUCUUUUUGUAGAAUCUGUGAAUGGACAUUUCUGAGCCUACUGAAACCUAUAGUGAAAACAGAAUAUCUUGUGAUAUAAACUAGAAAGAAGCUAUUUGCAAAACUCCCCUGUGAUGUGAUUGUACAGUUCAAAGAGUUAAAUCUUUCUUUUGUUCAGAAGGUUGGAAGAGCUUUUUUUACAGAAACUGCUUUGGAGCCCACUGAGACCUGUAGUAAAAACUGAAUAUGCCAUCAUAAAAACUAGAAGGAAGCUCUCUGUGAAACUGCUUCCUGAUGUGUGCAUUCAGCGAACAGAGUUAAACCUGUCUUUGGAUUCAGUAGAUUAGAAACACUCUACCGGUAGAAUCUGCGAGGGGACAUUUUGGAGACGUUUGAAGCCUAUAGUGAAAAACAGAAUAUCCCGUGAUAUAAACUAGAAGGAAGCUAUCUGUGAAACUGCUUUGUGAUGUGUGAAUUCAUUUCACAGAGUUAAAACUUUCUUUUGAUUCAGCAGCUUGAAACACUUUAUUUGUAGAAUCUGCGAAUAGACAUUUUGGAGAACACUGACACCUUUAGUGAAAAACAGAACAUCCCGUGAUAAUAACUGGAAAGAAACUAUCUGUUAAACAGUUUUGUGAUAUUUGGAUUCAGUUCACAGAGUUACAUUGUUUUUGAUUCAGCAGGUUGAAUCACUCUUUUAGUGGAAUCUGUGAGUAUGCAUUUCAGAGCCGACUGAGGCCUUUAGUGAAAAACGGAAUAUGUCACAAUAAAAAGUAGAAAGAAUUUAUCUGUAAAACUGCUUUAUGAUGUGUAGAUCGUGCACACAAAGCUAAACUUUUUUUUUUUUUUGAUUCAGUAGAUUGUAAACACUGUUUUUUGUAGAAUCUUCCAAGGGACAUUUGGAGCCAUCUGCGGCCUAUAGUAAAAGACAAAAUACCCCAUGAUAAAAACUAGAAAGAAGCUAUAUGUGAAACUGCUUAGUGAUCAGUGGAUUCAGGUCACAGAGCUAAACCUUUCUUUUGAUUCAGUAGGUUGGAAACCCUCUUAGUAUCUUGGAAGGGACAUUUCAGAGCCCACUAAGGAGUAUAGUGAAAAAACGAAUAUCCCAUGAUAAAACUAGAAAGAAGCUAUCUGUGAAACUGCUUUGUGAGGUGUAGAUUCAACUUACAGAGUUAAACCUUUCUUUUGACUCAGCAACUUGUAAAAACUCUUUUUGUAGAAUCUGGGAAGGAAUAUUUUGGAGCCCACAGAGGCCUACAGUGAAAACAAAAUACCCCGCAGUAAAAACUAGAAGGAAGCUGUCUCUAAAACUACUUUGUGGUUUGUGGGUUUACCUAACAGAGUUAAACCUUUCUUUUGAUUUAGCAGGUUGUAAACACACCUUUUGUAAAAUCUGCAAAUUUACAUUUUGGAGCAAACUGAGUCCUAUAGUGAAAAAACAAAAAAUCCCAUGAUAAAAACUGGAAAGAACCUAUCUGUGAAAACUUGUGAUGUGUGCAUUCAGUUCACAGUGUUAAACUUUUCUUUUGAUUCAGCAGGAUGGAAACAGUCUCUUUGUGCAAUCUGUGAAUGGAUAUUUCUUAGCACAAAGAGGUCUACAGUUAAAAACUGAAAAUCUUGUGAUAAAAACUAGAAAGAAGCUAUCUAUGGAACUGCUUUGUCAGGUGCAGGUUCAACUCACAGAGGUAAACCUAUCUUUCAAUUCAGCAGGUUGUAAACACUCUUUCUGCAGAAUCUGCAAAGGGACAAUUCAAAUCCCUCUGAGUCCUAUAGUGAAAAACUGAAAAUCCCGUGACAAAAACCAGACCAAAACUGUCUGUUAAACUGCUUUGUAAUGUGUGGAUUUAGCUCACAGAGGUACAACUUUCUUUGUAUUUAGCAGGUUGUAAACACUCUUUUUGUAAAAGCUGCAACAAGAUAUUUCAAAGUCCACUGAGGGCUAUAUGGAAAAUGGAAUAUCCCACAAUAAAAACUAGAAAGUAGCUAUCUGUGAAACUUCUUUUUGAUGUGUGCAAUCAGCUCACAGACUUAAAUAUUUCUUCUCAUUCAGCAGGUUGUAAACACUCUUGUUUUCGAAUUUGCAAAGGGACACUUCACAGGGCACUGAGGCCUGUAGUGAAAACCUGAAUAUCCUGUGGAAAAAAAAAACUUGAAAGAAGCUAUCUGUGAAACUACUUUGUGAUGUGUGGAUUCAGCUGACAAAUUUGUAUUUUUUUUUUUUAUUUAGCAGAGUGGAACAUUAUUUUCUUAGAAUCUGCAAAAAGACAUUUUGAAGCCCACUGAGGGCUAUGUUGAAAAUCUGAAUAUUUCAAGAUAAACAGUAGAAAGAAGCUAUCUGUGAAACUGCUUUGUGAUGUGUGGAUUCAGCUCACAAAGUUAAACCUUUCUUUUGAUUCUCCAGAUUGGAAACACACUUUUUGUAGAAUAUGUGAAGGGACAUUUCAGAGCUCCCUGAGGCCUAUAGUAAAUAAAUGGAUAUCCCAUGAUAAAAACUUUGAAGAAACUACUGUGAAACUGCUUUGUGAUAUGUGGAUUCAACUCACAGAGUUAACCUUUAUUUUGGUUAAGCAGGUUGUAAACAUUCUUUUUGAAUAAUCUGGGAAGGGACAUUUCAGAGCCCACUGAGGCCUAUAGUGAAAACUGAAUACCCUGCGAUUAAAACUAGAAGGAAGCUAUGUGUGAAGCUGCUUUGUGAUGUGUGGGCUCAGCUAACAGAAUUAACCCAUUCUUUUCAUUCAGCAGGUUGUAAACACUCUUUCUUUAGAAUUAGCAUAUUGACAUUUCAGAGCAAACAGUCCUACAGUGAAAAACUGAAAAGCUCAUAAUUAAAAUUAGAAAGAAGCUAUCUGUGAAACUUUGUGAUGUUUGCAUUCAGUUCACAGAGUUAAACCUUUCUUUUCAUUCAGCAUGUUGGAAAUACUACUUUUGUAGGAUCUGUGAAGGAACAUUUCUUAGCCCGCCAAGGCCUAUAGAUAAAAACAAAAAAUCCUAUUAUAAAAACCAGAAAGAAGCUAUCUGUAACACUGCUUUGAGAGGUCUGGGUUCAACUCUCAGAGUUAAACCUGCCUUUUGAUUCAGCAGGUUGUAAACACUCUUUUUGUAGAAUCUGUAAAGGGACAUUUUGCAGCCUACUAUGUCCUAUAUCGAAAACUUGAAUAUCUUAUGAUAAAAACUAGAUAGAGCCUAUCUGUUAAACUGCUUUGUCCUGUAUGGAUUCAGCUCACAGAGGUAAAUCUUUUUUUUUUUUUUAUUUAGCAGGUUGGAAACACUCUUUUUGUAGAAGCUGCAAAGAGGCAUUUCAAAGUCCACUGAGUACUAUGUUGAAAAAUAGAAUAUCCCGUGAUAAAAACUAAAAAGAAGCUAUCUGUGAAAUUGAUUAGUGAUGUGUGGAUUCAGCACACAGAGUUAAACCUUUCUUUUCAUUCAGCAGGUUGGAAACAGUCUUAUUUUCAAAUCUGCGAAGGGACACUUUGAAGGCCACUGAGGCCUAUAGUGAAAAACCAAAUAUCCAAUGAAAACAACUAGGAAGAAUCUACCUGUGAUGUGUGGACUCAGCUCACAAACUUGUACAUUUCUUUUGAUUAGCAGGCUGAAAACACUUUUUUUUAGAGUCUGUGAAUAGACAUUUCGAAGCCCACUGAGGGCUAUGAUGAAAAGCAGAAAGAACCCAUCUGAAACUGCUUUGUGAUGUAUGGAUUCAGCUCACAAAGUUAAACUUUCCUUUUGAUUUUCUGGUUUAGUAAACACACUUUUUGUGGUAUAUGCAAAGGGACAUUUCAGAGCUUUCUGAGGCCUAUAGUGAAAAAGUGAAUAUCCCAUGAUAAAAACCUUAAAGAAGCUAUAUCUGUGAAACUGCUUUGUGAUAUGUGGAUUCAGGUCAAAGAGAUAAACCUUUCUUUUGAUUCAACAGGUUGGAAAAACUCUUUUUGUAGAAUCUGCAAAGGGGCAUUUCAGGGGCCAAAGAUGACUACAGUGUAAAACUGAAUAUCCCCUGAUGCAAACUACAAAGAAACUACCUGUGAAACUGCUUUGUGAUGUGUGCAUUCAGUUCACAUAGUUAAACCUGUCUUUUGAUUCCGCAGGUUGGAAACACUCUUUUUGUAGAGUCUGUGAAAUGCCAUUUUGCAGCCCACUUCAGGCCUAUAGAGAAAAACCAAAUAUCCCGCAAUAAAAACUAGAAAGAAGCUAUCUUUGAAACUGCUUUUGAUGUGUUGAUUCAGCUCACAGAGUUAAACCUUUCUUUUGAUUCAACAGGUUGGAAAAACUCUUUUUGUAGAAUCUGCAAAGAGACAUUUCAGAGCCCAUUGAAACCUAUAGUGAAAAACCAAAUAUCCCG
rnacentral:lncRNA from 10 species